rnacentral:rRNA from 1 species
GACGAACCACACGAACGUUAUUCGGAAUUACUGGGCUUAAAGGGUGCGUAGGCUGUGCGGCAAGUUAGGUGUGAAAUCCCCCGGCUCAACCGGGGAAUUGCGCUUAAAACUACCGUGCUAGAGGAAUACAGAGGUGAGCGGAACUUCGGGUGGAGCGGUGAAAUGCGUUGAUAUCCGAAGGAACACCGGUGGCGAAAGCGGCUCACUGGGUAUUUUCUGACGCUGAUGCACGAAAGCUAGGGGAGCAAACGGG